AGGUGUGAUCAUUCCAGCACUAAUGCAACGGAUUCCAUCAGAACUCCGCAGAUAAGCGUGCUUGGGAGAGAGUAGAAAUUGGAUGGGUGACCUCAUGGGAAGUCCUCGUGUUGCACCUC
rnacentral:rRNA from 2 species